CCGAGUUUACAACUCCCAAACCCCUGUGAACAUACCUGUACGUUGCCUCGGCGGAUCAGCCCGCGCCCCGUAAAAAGGGACGGCCCGCCCGAGGACCCCUAAACUCUGUUUUUAGUGGAACUUCUGAGUAAAACAAACAAAUAAAUCG
rnacentral:misc_RNA from 1 species